ensembl:lncRNA
CAGGCAGGCGCGCGCACGGAGCUUCGCGCACAGCCCCGCGCGCGCCCUCCCCUCUGCUUUGCUCCGCUCCGCUCCCCCCGCCGCCGCCGGGCGCGCGCACAGCCGGGGCCGCCCGGGGGGGCUCUAGAGCCCGGCGGGCCGCGAGCGCCGCAGGGGCAGCGCCGGCCCGUCCUCCCUCAGCACUACGGACACCACGGCGGCGGCGGCUGCCCGGCUCCGGGCUGUAGCUGUUGUUGCCAUGAUGAUGAUGUCACGGACGCAACCAUUGGGGGGAGUGGGGGGAGGACGGGCCAUGGUUUGGGGGGAAGCGAGGGAGAGAGGUGUCUUAUUCCCCCCCUCCCCCACCAGUCCGGCUCAGCAGACGUGCGUAAGGCUUCGGAGGUUUUUUUUCUCCCCCAAAUUAUUAUUCUCCCCCCCACCCUUUUCUUCCCUGGGUAGCAAGAAGCGGGGGGUGGGGCGGGGGGAGCUCGAUGAUUCGGUGAUCGGCCGCCGAGGUCGGGGCGAGGCUGCGGAAUUCCGAGCCGCGGAUUGGACAGGCCGGGGGUGGGGGGAGGACGAGGGAACGCCGCCGGGCCAGGAUUGGGUUAAGCUGGGUCGGCCGCCAUUUUGGAUGCUGAGCCGUCUUGCUGCGGGAAGAUUGAGAGCACACUUCUACUUUUUGUAUUCUUUUUGCAAUCAAGUGAAGAAGUUAGCCUCCAGGGUCACGCCAAGGAUGUUCUACAUUUCUAAGGUCUAUACUGUGAAACCUUGGAGUGCUCUGUCUAUGGGGAUGCCCUGGGUGUACCCCAACUGCAUGUCAGAAUGAGAGCUAAGUGUGGGCCGUGUAUUCCGGAGUGUUGAUUUUUCAGGUUACAAAAACCUGAAUUCUGUAAGGAGAAAACCUGGGCACAUGGAUCAGAAGUAGCAUGUGGUACAUCCAGUUGGUAUCCCAAUCUGGCCAGUCAUACUGUCUGUAUUGUAGAGUAAGUGUAUUCUGCAGUGUGCACCACAGACUGAGUGAAUAGAAGAGAAUCUUCAGACUACAGUACAUAUUUGGUGCCGUGCAAUAUAGUCUCAGCCUACCAAACCUGUACGUACUUUACCACAUAUUAGAAGCCAUAGUCUCAUGUUAGGCUCUGAGAAUCCUUAAACACUCAAUGCAAAAAAUUAGUCUUCUAGGUCCACAGAAGUGAGUACGUUGAAUGAGGAGUUGCCUAUGAAAUACUGAGAAAGAAAGUAUGACCUAAAUAUUCCCCUGUCCAAGGGAGUAAGUGUUGAAUAUUGGACUGAAGCUGCCUAGAGUUAAUCACUUAGCGUUAGUAGCUGAAUUUGCUGAAGCCUUAAGGCCGCAAGCUGUGAACUUUCACCUAGAUCUGUUGAACUUUUACCUAGUUAAGUAAAAGAAGGCCCCAGAGCCAGUUCAAGACGGAAGAUAAGGGGCAGCCGUGGAGAUAAGAAAAGAAAUGGCCCGCCUAGAGACAAUGAAGGGACCCAAUGAAGAACAGGAAGACCCCAGACCUUAAUAUUACUAUUGGUUCUGAACUAUCGUGUGAAGGGUGGGGAACUUAGAUUAUAAGGGUAUAAUUGCCCAGGAAUUUCUUUGUUCGGAGUCCCUCUCCAGAGGCACCAAGCUCGAGCUGUUACUUGCCGCUGUACCACUUACAGUAAAUUAGUUUGUGAUACUCCGCGUCUGAGACUCUGCUUCGGGAAACCUAGGGUCAAGAAACUUCCUUAACGUAAGGCUUAUGCCUUCUCUCAGGUUUCUCAGUUUGGAGUCCUUUCCUAGAGUUAGGUAUCUAAGCCAAGUAAGCCAAAAGGCUUAUUUC